CCUCUCACCGCCUCGGGCGCCGCGCUGUGGGCUGGCGGGGCGGGCUUUGCGGCCCAGGCCCAGGCCCAGAACCCGCCCCGGCCUCGCGCACUAUGUAAGGCUGCUUGCGGGGCCGGGGCUGUGGCGGAGCAGCGGGAGCUCGCGGGCCUGACUGGGGGAGGACGGUCUGCGGGUGCCGUGCACGGCCGCAUCCCGCUGAAGGCGGCAUGCGGGACUACGAGGAGGUGACCGCCUUCCUGGGCGAGUGGGGGCCCUUCCAGCGCCUCGUCUUCUUCCUGCUCAGCGCCAGCAUCAUCCCCAAUGGCUUCAAUGGGAUGUCGUUUGUGUUCCUGGCGGGGUCCCCGGAGCACCGCUGCCGGGUUCCGGACGCCGCGAACCUGAGCAGCGCGUGGCGCAACCACAGCAUCCCGCUGCUGCUGCGCGACGGCCGCGAGGUGCCCGACGGCUGCCGCCGCUACCGGCUCGCCACCAUCGCCAACUUCUCCGCGCUCGGGCUGGAGCCGGGGCGCGACGUGGAGCUGGGGCAGCUGGAGCAGGAGCGCUGCCUGGAUGGCUGGGAGUUCAGCCAGGACGUCUUCCAGUCCACCAUCGUGACCGAGUGGAACCUGGUGUGUGAGGACGACUGGAAGACCCCGCUCUGCAUGUCCUUGUUUUUCGUUGGUGUCCUAGUGGGCUCCUUCAUUUCAGGGCAGCUCUCAGACAGGUUUGGUCGGAAGAAUGUGCUGUUUGUGACCAUGGGCAUGCAGACUGGCUUCAGCUUACUGCAGGUCUUCUCAAAGAACUUUGAGAUGUUCACGGUGCUCUUCGUCCUUGUUGGCAUGGGCCAGAUCUCCAACUACGUGGCAGCAUUUGUCCUGGGAACAGAAAUCCUUGGCAAGUCAAUUCGUAUUAUAUUUGCCACGCUAGGAGUGUGCAUAUUUUUUGCAUUUGGCUUCAUGCUCCUGCCACUGUUGGCUUACUUCAUCAGAGAUUGGCGGAUGCUGCUGCUGUCACUGACGUUGCCUGGGGUGUUGUGUGCGGCACUCUGGUGGUUCAUCCCAGAGUCCCCGCGAUGGCUCAUCUCGCAGGGGCGAUUCGAGGAGGCAGAAGUGAUCAUCCGCAAGGCUGCCAAAAUCAAUGGGAUUGUGGCACCCUCCACCAUCUUCGACCCGAGUGAGUUACAAGAUCUGAGUUCCACGAAGCAGCAGUCCCACCACAUUCUGGAUCUGCUCCGAACCCGGAACAUCCGAAUCGUCACUAUCAUGUCCAUAAUUCUGUGGAUGACCAUAUCAGUGGGCUACUUUGGACUUUCCCUUGAUACUCCUAACCUGCAUGGAGACAUCUAUGUGAACUGCUUUCUUUCUGCGGUGGUCGAAGUUCCAGCAUAUGUGUUGGCCUGGCUCCUGCUGCAGUAUGUGCCCCGGCGCUAUUCCUUGGCCACUGCUCUCUUCCUGGGCGGCAGUGUCCUUCUCUUCGUGCAGCUGGUGCCCCCAGACUUAUAUUACUUGUCUACAGUCCUGGUGAUGGUGGGCAAGUUUGGAAUCACUGCUGCCUUCUCCAUGGUCUAUGUGUACACAGCUGAGCUGUAUCCCACAGUGGUCCGAAACAUGGGUGUGGGGGUCAGCUCCACAGCAUCCCGCCUUGGCAGCAUCCUGUCUCCCUACUUCGUUUACCUUGGUGCCUAUGACCGCUUCCUGCCCUACAUUCUCAUGGGAAGUCUGACCAUCCUGACAGCCAUCCUCACCUUGUUCUUGCCAGAGAGCUUCGGUGCCCCUCUCCCAGACACCAUUGACCAGAUGCUAAGGGUCAAAGGAAUUUGGUGAGCCUUUGCCACCCAUCGCCUGACUCUGUCACUUUGGGCUAACUGUAGCAGUGGAUUAGACUAUAAGAGUCCUGAGACACACCCCUGAAGAUGUCAUCUCAAGAAGAUGGAUCUAAGCUCAGAGACAAAGUUCUACAAGAACUCACCAGAGACAUGUGGACAUCAUUUCUGUUUUGGGCCAGCUAGAGGGCAGCAGCCAGGUACCUGACUGGUUCUGUAACCCCGGGAGUCCCCCAUGAAACUCUUCUUACAGCUGUGUACAGGAGGUGUGGGGAUAUGCUCUGCACAUGAAGGACAGACUGCUAAAAGGAUGCAGCAUUAUCACUCUCUCACAGGGCCAGUCUGCUGAAGAGAUCUGAAAAAUUUACUGUUCAUGCAGAACAAAAUAGUUCUGAAAAUUCCAAACACCCUCAUACAGUUGUCCUCCCCAUAGCAAAAGACUAGCAUAAAAAAAAGUAAAUAAUUACAAAUAUUUUCCACUAAAACUAACCAAAUAAUAAGUGAGCUGGGUAGUACUUGCCUGUAACCCUAGCACUUGGGAGGCUGAGGCAGGAGAAUUGCCACAAGUUUGAGGCCAGCCUGGGCUACAUGGUGAGUUCAAGGCCAGCCUGAACUACAUAGCAAGACCCUGUCUCCAAAAAAAAAAAAAAAUCAGCAUAACAGUGUACUUCAGAAAUUGAAGGGAAGAAGUAUAAGAUUCUAAACUUGUACCCAAUCUCUUGAGCCACUGACAUUUGCUACUGACUCCCUAAAACUACCAAAUUGGGCCAACAGGAGACUGAUUAAAAGCCUCUAUUUUCUCUUAAAGAUUUUUGGAAACCAAAAAUGAAUGAAAUGGAGAAAAUAGGCAAUGGGGAUGAUUUUGAAAGAACUGAGUGCACUUAAAGGAAAUACUAACUGGAUUCCUUUAGGCUGAAAUGAAAGGGCAGAAGACAGUAACUUGAACCUAAGUGAAGAAGUAACGGGAAAAGAUGGCUGCCUCACUAAAUAUAAAAAACAAUAUUCAUUUAUUUUUCUUUACUUCUGUUUUUUCCUGUAUGAUUUAAAAGAUAACUGCAUAGGGCCUGGGAUUUAGCUCAGUGGUUCUGCUGCCUGCUUAGCAAGCACAAGGUCCCAAGUUCGAUCCCCAGUACCAAAAAAAAAAAGAUAACUGCACAAAGCAGUAAUAAGUUUAUGCUGCUGGGUUCACAAUGUGUGAAGAUGUAACCUGUGACAAUAACAAUCAAGGGCAGAGCUAAAUAAGAGCAAAGUUUUUGUAUAUUAUUGAAGAUAACGGUAUUAAUUUAGACUAUUAUUUAAUAUAUUGAUACAGAAAAGUUUUAGAUAACUUAAUAGAUUGAAUAUUAAGGUAGUUGUAGAAGCAAAAUAAGUAAUGUGUUCUUUUAAGAUUUGCUUUUCCUGUAAAUCCUUGUUUAAGGUGACGAUUAUCUGACUCUAACCUGUAACUUCAUUAACCUAAGAAAGUUACCAUGCUAGGGUGAAUUUCCAAUGUAUGUGGCCUAUCUUGCAUCCGUGACUUGUAAAUAGGAACUAGAAUUGUAUUUACACAUCAAAGACCACUAGGGAUGAGAUAAUGGCUAAAAAGGAUAUAAAAAGGGAAACGCUGAACAAAGGGGGUCGGAUACUGGCCAGACUGGUUUCUGGCGUUCCACCCGCCCGCUCGCGAAGCGAGAAGAAAUUUUAUUAUUUUAUCCGAA